AAUCAACGCUGGCGGCGCGCUUAACACAUGCAAGUCGCACGAGAAAGGGAGCAAUCCUGAGUAAAGUGGCGUACGGGUGAGUAACACGUGGGAAUCUACCUCUUGGCGGGGAAUAACCCUGGGAAACCGGGGCUAAUACCGCAUAAGCUCGUGAGAGGAAAGCAGCAAUGCACCGAGAGAGGAGCCCGCGGCCGAUUAGCUAGUUGGUGGGGUAAUGGCUCACCAAGGCGAAGAUCGGUAGCCGGCCUGAGAGGGCACACGGCCACACUGGCACUGAAACACGGGCAGGACUCCUACGGGAGGGGGCGGGGGGGAAUCUUGCAAAAUGGGGGAAACCCUGAUGCAGCGACGCCGCGUGAGCGAUGAAGCCCUUCGGGGUGUAAAGCUCUUUCGACAGGAACGAUAAUGACGGUACCUGGAGAAGAAGCUGCGGCUAACUACGUG
rnacentral:rRNA from 1 species